AUGAAAGCCAUCACUACUCUUUCACGCUACUUUUCAACUGGAAAACAACUACAAGUCCUUGUUUCAUCUAUCCAACCGCCCAAAUUUGUCCCUCAAAUUGCAGCUUUUACUGAAGAUUUGUGUGCUCGGAUUUUGAAUCAAUACCCAGAUAUCAAAACGCUGGAAAAACUCCACUGCAAGGUUUUGACUGACGAUUACCUGCGCUGGAACUCGUCCCUUGGCAUCAAAUUGAUGAGGGCUUAUUCUGCUUGCGGUGAACCCGGGAUAACACGCCACAUAUUUGAUGAAAUUACUGACAAGAAUGUUGUUUUCUUUAAUGUCAUGAUUAGGAGCUACGUUAACAACCAUUUAUACCGUGAUGCUUUCCUCGUUUAUAAAACAAUGUCUAGCCAAGGAUUUGAUCCCGAUAUGUACACUUGCGUUUGCGUCUUAAAGGCAUCUUCCGGGUCUGAUAGUUUGUGGGUUGGUUUGCAAGUUCAUAGUGCUAUAUUGAAAUUCGGGAUGGACUCGAAUCUAUUUGUUGGGAAUGGACUAGUUGCCAUGUAUGGGAAGUGUAAGUGUUUAAAGGAGGCUCGACAAGUGUUUGAUGAGAUGCCUCGUAGAGAUGUGGUUUCUUGGAAUUCAAUGGUUGCUGGGUAUGCACAGAAUGAACGGUUCAAUGAAGCAUUGGAUCUUUGUAGGGAAAUGGAGGGUUCAAAGUUAAAACCUAAUGCUUGCACAAUGGCCAGCCUCUUGCCAGCUGCAGCGAACACAUCCUCUGAUAAUGUUUUUUAUGUUAAAGAAAUGUUUAUGAAGCUGGCAAAAACAAGUGUGAUUUCCUGGAAUGUGAUGAUUGCUGUUUAUGUGAACAAUACAAUGCCGAAAGAAGCAAUGGACCUAUAUUUGCAGAUGGACGCAAAUGGUAUUGAACCUGAUGUAGUCUCUAUUGUUAGUGUUCUUCCUGCUUGUGGAGAUCUUUCAGCUGUGACACAAGGAAGGGGAAUUCAUGAAUAUGCCAAGAGGAAGAAGCUUAUUCCAAAUUUGCUUUUGGAGAAUGCACUAAUUGAUAUGUAUGCAAAAUGUGGAUGUUUGAGGGAUGCAAGGGCAGUGUUUGAUCAAAUGCAAUUUCGGGACAUCGUGUCAUGGACUUCUAUGAUAUCUGCUUAUGGUAUGUGCGGCCAGGGUCAUGAUGCUGUUGCAGUAUUUGCAAAAAUGCAGAACUCAGGUUUGAGUCCAGAUUCUAUUGCUUUUGUUUCUGUUUUAGCAGCCUGCAGUCAUGCAGGAUUAUUAGAUGAGGGGCGAUACUACUUUAAUCUAAUGUCUGAAUAUGGGAUAACUCCGAAGUUAGAACACUUUGCUUGCAUGGUAGAUCUAUUAGGACGUGCUGGAAAUAUAGAUGAGGCCUAUGGUAUUAUCAGGCAUAUGCAUCUGGAACCUAAUGAAAGAGUUUGGGGAGCUUUGUUGAGUGCUUGUCGGGUUUAUUCUAACAUGAAUAUUGGGCUUCUGGCUGCUGAUCAACUUUUCCAAUUGGUUCCUGAGCAGUCAGGUUAUUAUGUGUUGUUGUCCAACAUUUAUGCAAAGGCUGGAAGGUGGCAAGAUGUUGCAGCUAUCAGAUCAAUCCUGCAGAGAAAAGGACUCAAGAAAAUACCCGGCAUUAGCAAUGUUGAGCUCAAUGAUCAUGUUCACACCUUUCUUGCUGGUGACCAGUUCCAUCCUCAGUCAAAGGAGAUCUACGAGGAGCUGGAUGUAUUAGUUGGGAAAAUGAAAGAGUUUGGUUAUAUGCCUGAGACCGAUUCUGCCCUUCAUGAUGUAGAAGAGGAGGAUAAGGAAUGCCAUUUAGCGGUUCAUAGUGAGAAGCUAGCUAUUGCCUUCGCUAUUAUAAAUACCAAGCCUGGCACUCCAAUUAGAGUUACCAAGAAUCUUCGUGUUUGUGGAGAUUGCCAUGUUGGUGCCAAGCUUAUAUCCAAGAUUACUAAACGUGAAAUUGUCAUUCGGGAUACUCAUCGUUUUCACCAUUUUCAUGAUGGAGCUUGCUCGUGCGGUGACUAUUGGUGAUUGAUCUUAAGCACUUGAGAAUUAUGGUAUGCCGCUACAAUCACUGCGUAAGUCAGGAGAUGGAUGAAUUAAUUUAAUUACGAGGAUGGAAAAAUACCGCUAAGUCACAGUGUGAAUGAAGACUGUUUUUGCUGACCGCUGCUUCCUCAUGUGUAGCCGAAGCCCAAUGGGAAAGAGGGAGAAGCAUAAAGGUAGAGGAAAGAAAAGAAGAUGACGGGCUAUGUUUAUCUGUCACCAAUGUUCAGACCAUGUUCUCCACUGGGCCCAAUUGGAUCAGUCUAAUAAAAGUCUGGGACCAAGUCAAAUCCAUUGGGUUCAACUGCUAAUAGUCGCCUAUCACUCACUAGUCGCAGCAAGAGACAACAGCCUACUCAUAUGGUGUUAAUUUUGGGCUUGGGUCAACCCCUGCUCUCCGGCCCAUGAAGCAAGGCGCAGUAGUGGGACUCCAUGUGCACAUAUAUGGUAGUCUUCAAUGGCUUAUAGAAAUUAAAUUAGAGGAGGACAUUAUCUAUUAUUUGACCAGUUUUCUAACUAAUAAUGGAUUAGCAUCUCCCUUCAUUUGAAAAUUUGUUUGGUCGUGUUGCUUAAGACGUGCUGUAGCAAACAAUAUUGUAGUGCAUUAUUUAUGCUGUAAA